rnacentral:lncRNA from 12 species
AUGGAAAUUCUGAAAUGGAAGACAAUCCUCAGUACUGCUGUGAAAAGACUACAAGAAGCCAUCAUUCAAAUCCAAAUAAUAUCAAUGAUGUUUAAUCAGGAUGGUGGCCUGGUGAUCAGCAAAAAAAGAAAAAUCGUAAGGGAAUGGAUGUGGCCUUCAAAGGGAAAACUUGAUGAUCCAGUUGACAUUUGGGUAUUAUUUUACAAUUUAUCCUUCUUAUAUCUAUUUCUUAUGCCAUACCAAUAAUUUACUUUAAGCUCCUAAAAUAUACUAUCGGGGAAAAUAGGAUUGAGAGGACUGAAUUAUUCAGUUUGGGUGUCUAUACCAGCCAAUUAACCUGACAAAUCUUUAUUUCAGUUUUUUUAGUUCACUUGCUUCUUUUUUUUUAAGAUUUUAUUUAUUUAUUUAUUUAUUUAUUUAUUUAUUUAUUUGAGAAAGAGAGCAAGCAUAUGCAUUUGGGAGUAGAGGGGAAGGACAUAGGGAGAGGGAGAAGGAGAGAAUCAGACUCCCUCCUGAGCACAGGGCUUGACACAGGGCCUCACAUGGGGCUCCACACAGGGCUCAAGUCAGGGCUCAAUCAUACAACCCAUGAGAUGACUACCUGAGCUGAAACCAAGAGUCAGACACUUAACCGAUUGAGCCACCCAGGUGCCCCUACUUCAGUAGGUUCUUUCUUAUGGAUUUGUCUUUGCUAAGCAGCAGUUACCUUUUCUUUUAAAGUAGGCUCCAUACCCAGCAUGGAAGCCAAUCCAGGGCUUGAACUCAUGACCUUGAGAUCAAGACCUGAGCUGAGGUCAAGCAUCAGACUGACUGAACCACCCAGGCACCCCAAGCAGUUACUUUAAACAGUAAUUUUUAAAAAUUAUCAUUAGAUAGUAUUUUGUGUAUAAUAUAAAAAUAUUUUAAAAAUAGGACAAUAUAUAAUAUUCAAAGUGAAAGUCCCCUGAGUCUCACUCUGCAGAAUUAGCUUUGUAAAUAGCUUAAUGUGCAUUUUUGUCAGAUCCAGGGUCAGAAAUUCAGAUAAUGUAAGAGUGAGCUUACCAAUGGGAACUUCUGUGAGCUGGAAAGUAAGUGUCCUCCCUACCCCAAAGGAGACAGCCUUUAGUGAGGGCCAAAGCACUGUUGCCACAUGGGAAUGUGGGCCUAGGCCUGCUAUAUUUUAUGAUUUUUUAAAAGCCAUGAAUUAAAAAAAAAAAAGCCAUGAAUUAAGAUUUUUUUGAUGAAAAAAAAAAAAAGAUUUUUUUGAUGAAAUAUCCUGAUAUUUCAAAGUUGGCAAUUAAUUCAAACUCUAACAUGACUAAACCAAAUACUUCUGAGAUGCCAGUCUGUAACCUCUGUGCAAGAAUUUAUUGGUUCAUAAAUAGUUACUUUAUGUGUGUGCUGUAUUUUGUGUCCAGGGCCACUGCAUAUGGCUGUGCAGGUGUCCUGUACAACCAACCUUAGAGGUACCAGUUAUAAAGAGCUAUGCUGCCCAAUAUGGCAGCCACUAGACACCGUGGCUGUGGUCCCUCAAACUACACUGUAGGUGUAAACUACACACCAGAUGUCAAAGACUUAGUAUAAAAAACAAGUAUGUAAAGUAUCUUAUUGAUAAUUUUUAUAUUAGUUACACAUGGAAACAUUAAUAUUUGGAUAUAUUUAGUUUUGAAAUGUUUUUUUAAAGUAAUUUCACCCACAGGGCACCCAAGUGGCUCAGGGUUGAGUGUCUGCCUUUGGCUCAGGUCGUGAUCCCAAGGUCCUGGGAUUGAGUCCCACAUUGGAGUCCCCGCAGGGAGCCUACUUCUCCCUCUGCCUAUGUCUCUGCUUCUCUCUCUGUGCCUCUCAUGAAUAAAUAAAUAACAUCUUUUUUUUUUUUAAAGUAA